rnacentral:rRNA from 1 species
UACGUAGGGGGCUAGCGUUGUCCGGAUUUAUUGGGCGUAAAGAGCGUGUAGGCGGCCAGACAGGUCCGUUGUGAAAACUCGAGGCUCAACCUCGAGACGCCGAUGGAAACCGUCUGGCUAGAGUCCGGAAGAGGAGAGUGGAAUUCCUGGUGUAGCGGUGAAAUGCGCAGAUAUCAGGAAGAACACCCGUGGCGAAAGCGGCUCUCUGGGACGGUACUGACGCUGAGACGCGAAAGCGUGGGGAGCGAACAGG